rnacentral:rRNA from 1 species
GACGAACCGUGCGAACGUUAUUCGGAAUCACUGGGCUUAAAGCGCGUGUAGGCGGGAGGGCACGUCCGUCGCUGAAAUCCCCCGGCUCAACCGGGGAACGGGCACGGAUACGACCUUCCUGGAGGGGCGUAGGGGGACCUGGAACUUCCGGUGGAGCGGUGAAAUGCGUUGAGAUCGGAAGGAACGCCCGUGGCGAAAGCGAGGUCCUGGACGCCUACUGACGCUGAGACGCGAAAGCCAGGGGAGCGAACGGGG